UCAUCAGUAUGGUGUAAUCCUUACCUGUGGAUGACUAAUGUUGUCCUCAGUAAGGCACGUGAUGACGCGGGGCUAAAUGAUCUUCAGAUUAUACGCUCCGGGCCUGAAGGACAACAACACCCUUUACGGCCUGAGUCUGAU